rnacentral:rRNA from 1 species
AAUAAUUUUUAGAAUUUAACUUUUAAGUUAAAAGGCUUAAAUUUUUCUUUAGGACGAGAAGACCCUAUAGAGCUUAACAUUUAUUUUUAUAUAUUUUAUAUAGUUUGAUCUUAUUAUAUUAAAUUUUAAUGUUUUGUUGGGGUGACAUGAAGAAUUAAGAAACUCUUCAUUAUAAAAUCAUUGAUUUAUGUUUAAUUGAUCCAUAAUUUAUGAUCAUAAGAUUAAGUUACCUUAGGGAUAACAGCGUAAUUAUUUUUGAGAGCUCAUAUCGACAAAAUAGAUUGCGACCUCGAUGUUGGAUUAAGAUUAAUUUUAGGUGUAGUAGCUUAAUUAUUA